AACGAACGCUGGCGGCGUGGAUAAGACAUGCAAGUCGAACGGGAUUUUCUUUGGUAGCAAUACCGAAGAAAGUCUAGUGGCGAACGGGUGCGUAACACGUGGGCAAUCUGCCUUAAAGUGGGGGAUAGCUCGGCGAAAGCCGGAUUAAUACCGCAUGUGAUUACCGGAGACAUCUUCGGAACAUCAAAGUCGGGGCAACCUGACGCUUUUUGAGGAGCCCGCGGCCUAUCAGCUAGUUGGUGAGGUAACGGCUCACCAAGGCUUUGACGGGUAGCUGGUCUGAGAGGACGACCAGUCACACUGGAACUGAGACACGGUCCAGACACCUACGGGUGGCAGCAGUCGAGAAUUUUUCUCAAUGGGGGAAACCCUGAAGGAGCGACGCCGCGUGGAGGAUGAAGGUCUUCGGGUUGUAAACUCCUGUCAUUUGGGAACAAUGCUUAUGUAUUAACUGUACGUGAGUUGAUAGUACCAGAAGAGGAAGAGACGGCUAACUCUGUGCCAGCAGCCGCCGUAAAAC
rnacentral:rRNA from 1 species